AAUGUCAACUCAAUGUCUUCCUACAGGUAAUCUGAACAUUUAAAGAGCUCAGUUUUUUUUUUUUUUGUCCUCUCCACUCCUUGAUGGAAGCCCUCUCGUUGUUCGUUGUUGACUGUCAAUGCUAUAGCAUUCCAAGUGAGUUCUUGACGGUGUUAAUAGUGGUUCCUCCUGGGAAAUCAACAGCUGCUGAGGUCAGCUUUUUCUUGUGACUCGGUGUCACUGGUGACUCUGGCCUCCAUCUCGAUGAGCCUCAUGCUGCAGAAAUGCCGUCUCUUCUAGCCUCCUUUGACCUUCAAUGACUGAUGGAUUUAUCAGCUCUUAACCCUUUAGGCAGCAGGGUUUUUUGGAAAAAAUGCUGGAUUUUGACAUCAAUAAUAGGGCUUAAAGGUAGAGAUCUACUGUAAAUUAGAAAAAUGUUGGGCAUAACCGAGAGUUUGUGGUGUGUAAAUCUACUAAUCUAAUUUGCAUAUGACGUCAUCCGGGGUGGCCAACUUGAAUUUCAUAAUACUUUCUAGGAGAGAUGUAGGUGAGUUGCUGCUUUCAUGUAAUUUCAUUCAUACUGCAGUGCUGUAGACCAUUUUGAACCUUACAACAAGUGAUGACUUGUCCUUACAGCAUUAGCACUAAUGCAGAAACUUUAGGCUGUUAUGUGACGCUGCC
rnacentral:lncRNA from 1 species